AAGGACUCUUGCCCGACUCCUCUUGGCAGAGAUGGCUCUGGUUUCUCGGAGCGGUGGUAUGGCCAACAGGUGGGUGUUGCCCAGGAAAUUGUUUUUUCUGCUUUCUCAGUAGCUAUGGGCCAUGGGGAACACUGCCAUUUCCGGCCUUCUCUGCAUUAUUUGAUGAGAAUGCAGGUGAACUGCCCUGUGGUUUAAUUCCAAUGGCAGAGCAGUUAGCAUUUGCUGGUUUUUCUUGUCCCAGUGGGAACGCUGGUUUGCAUCUCACUGUACUUCCCUUGAGAUGUUGUGUGGGGUCCUUUAACCUGCAACGUGCCCCUCUGAGUGACGCCCACCCAGAUUCCAAUCAGAUCUAAACCAAUGGUCUCAGCCUUGAGAGCUACCUGUGUGUGUAAAGGCCUACAAGUGCUGCCCACACCAGCAAUAUCAGCUGAAGAGUGUUUUCAAGGGACAUCAUUUCAAUGAUCCGUGACAUCUGUUUCUUUUCUGAGUUUUUCCCUGCACAGCUAAUGCAAUGAUUGUUUUUAAAUUAGAACCUCUUUUUUUCUGUCAUUCCUGUUAUUUCUUAUGUGAGGUCGAUUCUAACAUAAUAGCAAACAGUGGACGCACAUUUCCUAGACAAAGUCAUGAUUUUAUGAAGACAGGAAAGGGCUUAUGAUAAUUUCUGUGAAAUCCAUGUUUGAUCGUUCUUCUCCUUUCUCAGCUGAGAGGUGAGUUCUGACAGUGCUCAGUACAAAAAAGAUAAGGUUGUGAUUUUCUUUUUUACAUUUUAACUAUUUUUAAAUCUUUACUAUGGAACCAAAGCAGGCAGAAGUGGAAUAACUCAACAUACCCUAGAUAGCUACCUCCAAGGCUCCGUGUUGAUCAACCUUUGGCCAAUUCUGCCUCUUCUGAUCUCCAUCCACUAGCUGACUCCAGAUUCCUUUGGAGCAUAUCUUAGACAUCCUGUCAUUUCACACCUAAGUUUUGUACUAUGUGGCUCUAGAAGAUAAACAUUCCCUUGAAAAGUCUAUCUCUACUUUUUAAAUGGAGAAACAUGUGGAACAUUUUCAGAGAGGAUUGAGAGAAGGGUGAUUCUCUCUUUAAUUAAAAAUUGAUUAAACUAAGCCACAUUAAUUGUUACUAGGACAGACGUAUUAGGAAUAGGAAUGGGAAUAGAUACAAUUAAAGUCAUUCAGAAGGAUAUGUUGUAAUUUUUUAGUCACUUGUUAAAAUCAAGGCUUUAUUCUGCAGACACAAUUAUUCACUUGGUUCAGAAUUCUAUACGUUGAAUGUAUCUCACCAGAGGUAAGCUCAGGUCCAACUGAUUGACUUUUCCAUUUGCGUGACGGUGGGUUAGUCAUGUUAGCUUUGUCUAGAUGUCUCCAAGCAUUUUUGACUGCAUACUUCUAUCAGUAAAGAAUUAAGCGUGUAUCCAUAGUAUGAAUUAUUAUUUAGAAAUCGUCUGUAUACUCUAUUAUGGUGGUAAGUGAAGUAUAUUGUAAACCACAUAUAAAAUAGAAACUAAAGAAUUAACUGAUAAAUAGGUUAUCUGCAGGUCUAAUAGGUACAGCAGGUCUAAUAUUUUCUUCCUGCCCUCAGUGGAUAUUCUUGUGCGUGCCCCAAUUUGAAGACAACUGGAGAAGGCAGUGCUAGGCAAUAUACAUCAUAGCGAGGUAUCAGUUGUCAAGCAGGACUGCCUGGGUUUGAAUCCUGGUGCCACUGCUCCUUAGCUGUGUGAUUUUGUACACAUCACUUAGCUCCUCUAAAUCUGUCCUCUCAUUUGUAAUACGAAGGCAUUCAUGCCUUAUAGGGUAUCGUAAGGUUUAAUCCUUGCACAGUGCCCAUUGUGUGGUAAGCAUUCAAUACAUUUUAGCUAAUAAUGAUGACGAUGAUAAUGCAGUCCUAGAGGGCUGGACCAAGGUUUGGCUUCCUCUUUUUACAGAGUGCCUGGCACACACUUAUUGGCACUUAUUUCAGUGUUCGGUGUGCUGAUGGUGGUGUGGGUGAUGACAGUUACGGGGAUGGUCAUACUGAUGAUCAAAAACACAGCGUACGUAUCGUCACUCGCUCGAUUUUAUUUGCAUUGAUGAUGAUGGUGACAGUAUGAUGACGGUUACAGGGACGGUCACAUUGAGAGUGGUGAAUAUGACCAACAGCAGAAGCCCUUUUGCAUUCCCUACUGGAACUACAUCAUCAGUGUUUGCGUUUGUCUUUCCUAAGAAUUUACCCAUCUGACAAAUAUGUUGACUAACUUGUUUUGCUGUCUCCCUUCCUGGCCUCUCUGCCCUGUUGAUCUGUUGUGCUGUUCUGCCCUCCUCUUGUGCUCUCGUGUCUCCAUCUCUCUGUAGAGCCUGCUGUUCCGCUUGCCCACACACAGGUCCAGGAGACGAACCAGCCCCUGUUCAGUGCAGGGCCAUUUCUUUGCCAGUGGCUAUUUGGUUCUCAUGUCAAAGAACCUGCCUAUCAGCCCCUGAGGACUAUGGGUAGUGCUAGAACCUAUGAAGUGUGGCCCUUUAUGGCCUUAUGCAAGACCACAUGGCCUUUAUGGUCUGUGUCUUUUCAGGUGUGAAAAAGGGCAGAUGUGGUAAGAAGUAAACUCAUCUGCUUAUCUGCAAAUGCCCAAACCUGAUCAGGCAGAGGUUCCUGGAAUGCUCUUGUUCAGGAAGUCUGCCAUCCAGCUCUGUGCCUCUGCUUCCCAAGGGAGGGAAGAGGGCUCCUGAGAAGGGCGGGAUCCCCACUGGCAUGAGAUCUCAAGAAAGCUCUUGAGGAAGGACUUUCUCCUUUCCAAAAUCAGGACAAAGGAAGGCUAGGGUUGUGCCCAGUGGUGCCAAAAGUAAGGGUAAUUACAAUAAAAAUUUGCCUUAGGCUCUUUUUCUGGGGGCUUGUGUUUUUCCCAUGAACCUCGUUGGCUGGGCUUUUGGGAGAUAUGCCCCACCCCCUCCAGGAGUGGUUCAGAUUUUAGAUGUUUAAGAAAUUCAAAGGUCUGAGGUUGACAUUUCAUUGGAAGCACCCUGAACUCUUUCAUUCUAGAUAUUGACUUGGGAAUUAAUCUCUUUAAGGAAUUCCAAAUAGAGUGGCACCUCAUACCCUUCCAUUUUUAAUCUUUGUCUAUAGACCAUGUGGUAUCUACCUCUAAUAUUCUGAAAAUGAGUACUGACACCUAAGAAUAUAUGUUUAUCUCUUCAUACUAAUUCUUCAACUGGGAUGUUGGUCGUGUCUCAAAAUGACUAGAGUAUGGAGUAUGUGAUUCUGUAGAAUGAGAUUAUGUGCUCCUAAAACACUAGCUAGGGGGGAAUUGCUCUUUAAUACAAAUAUUCUAAUGAUUUCAAAUACUUUAUCAGUUUGAUACUUAAUUCUAAAUAUUCUUGGGGUUAAAAUACACUUAUCUAAUAACCAAACAGUCAUGCUAUUCCAAACAGUUUGGGAUUGCCUUCCCAUCCACGGUUUUGGAAGUUUCCUUGGCUGGGAGACUCUAGGCCAGGGAAGAGAAAUAUAUUUCUAUUUGUGACUCUGAUGAAGUGGACUGCAUCCUUUGGAUAGUCACUCGAACGAGCACUGGUCACGGGACUGAUUUCUCAAGCAGAGGUGAAAAUGAAAGCCAGGCUGCUGUGUGGUUGGAGAGAUGGAGCUUGCGUCCAUACUUAGGAGCAUUGUUUGGGCUAAACAUGGCGGACUUGCCAGUCACAUGUAUCAUCUCCCUUUUCCAAAUCCAACCCCUGAUGAUAGGAAAGAAUAAAAGAGAAGAAAUAUGUCCAUCCACUGAUGAACAGAUACACAAAAUAUGGUACAUCCACACAAUGGAAUAUUAUCCAGCCAUAAAAAGACAUGAAGUCUACGUCUACAAAAUGGAUGAAUCCUGAAAAUGUUACACGAAGUGAAAGAGACCAGUCACAAAAGGUCACAUAUUGUACGAUUCUGUUUAUUUGAAAAGCCCCAAAUAGGCAAAUCCAUAGGAAUAGAAAGCAGAUUGGUGGUUUCCAGGGGAUGGGACCGAGGAGAAGCAGGGAGUGACUGCUUAAUAGGUAUGGGGUUUCCUCUUGGGGUGAUGAAAAUGUUUGGAACUAGAUAGAGGUGAUGGUUGCACAACAUUGUGAAUGCACUAAUUGCCACUGAAUUGUAUAAUUUAAAAUGGUUAAAAUGAAUUUUAUGUUGUGUACAUUUUACCUUGAUAAAAACAGGUAAAGGGGCAAGAGGAGACAUCACUGCAGACAUUUCCCAAAUUUUGGAAUAUGAAAGACAUUUGAAGAGAUGGCAAUUGACUUAACAGAGUGGAGGAAGCAAUAACCUAAGUGACUAAGGGAGGAGGAUAGGGGGUUGGUACCAAUGAGAAAUGAGCCACAUUACUGGUCAGAACCAUAGAAAGGCUGAGGCUUGGAGAUACCAGGUGCUACAGUAGGUAGCAAUAAACAGGGAGAUUUCUUGAAAUUCAAGAUAUAGAGAAUUUGGAUGCUAAGGUCUUUUUUUUCCCCUAUGCCAAGCAGCCAGGAGAUCCUUUCCUGCCCCUUUCUCUGAGUUGGAAAGACCUAGCGACAGUCAAGCGCAGGGUGGGAUCCCAUCUUAAAAACAAGGGAGAAGUUCAAGUUGACAGGUGAGACACCAGCUGUCUUUAGAAUGCCCACAGCCAGGAUUGAACCAGCCCCUUAGAUUAUCCUGCCCCAAGAAGAAGACUGGAAUAUUCCUUUCCAAAGAAACUGACUAGUCCAAAAGAACACACCCAUUUUCUUAAUAAGACCCUUAUUUGGGGGACUUCCUCAGUAAAAAGGCAGCUCACUACAUCAGCUCCUGGGGAUGCUUCUGGUCAGGGUCCACCAUGAACCCAGACCUUCUAAUUGGUUGUAUGAUACUUUAGUUUUAAUUAUGGAAAGACAGGCUCACUUUUGAUGAAGCUUCUAAUAUGAAAGAGAGAAUAAAAUAAAGAGGAAAAAAAAAACCUUGGUAGUAUAAACAGAAAAGAAACUUGGCAGGAAAAGAAAAUAAGUUAAAAAACAGAAACUUUUAUAUAAUUAAUACCCUUUGGAGACAUAAAGAGAAUAUUGCAUCCCUGAAAGAAGUAAAAGUUGCUAUGGAAACAGAUAAAUUAGACGAGAGAAAAGAGCUCCUGGAAAUUUAAAGAGUGAACAACAAAAUAAAAGUGAAAAAUUAGACAUAAGAUUGGAAGAUAAUGUUGAAAGAAUAAAACUUCAGAUUUCAAAAACAAUGCAGAAUCAACUUGGGAGGUGGUGUGCAACCAGAAGAAAUUUCUGGAGACUAGAGGAAAGGGAGGGAUCUAUUAUGUGUCUAUGAGUCUACGUGUCUAUGUGUCUAUCUAUCUAUCUAUCUAUCUAUCUGUUUUUAAAGUAGGCUUCAUACUCAACCCAACAUGGGGCUUGAACUCACAACCGUGAGAUUAAGACCUGAGCUGAGGUCAAGAGUUGGAUGUUUAACUGACUAAGAAAAGUUUCUGGAACAAAAGGCCAUGAGGUUUCCAGAUCGAAAAGAUUCACCUUGUAUUCAGAAAAAAACGGAGUAAAAAAACUCCAUUGAAACCCAUUCCUGUGAAAGUUUAGGACAAGAAGACCCAAAAUUUUUCAGAGGGUAAAGUGGGUCAUAUACAAAGGACAUGGACCCAGAAUGGCAUCAGACUUCUCUUGGACAAUACUGAAUGCUGAAAGAAAAGAAGCAAUGCCUUAAAAUUUCCAAGAAAAAAAAAAAGAUUUUUAACCGGAAUUCUAUAUCCAGUUCAACCAAAAUCCUGAUGUAAGGGAGGAAUUAAAAUAUUAUCAGACAUAGAAGGAGUCUAAAAUUUUACCUCCUAUGCACCUGAUCUCAGAAGGUAUUGGAAAAUCUACUUCGCCAAAACAAGGACGUGUAUCAACAAAGUAGAAGUGGGAUCUGGGAACCAGGGAUGCCACACAAUACAGGGCACAGCCAGGGUGUGGGGGUGGGUUCCCAAGAACAUGGCAAGGAUGAAUGGUUCUUGAAUGGACAGCACCAGAGGAAGAAACAAAAGGGAUAUUUGACCACCUUAAGCAUUUGGAAAUAAUAUUCAAAAUCUGUAUAACAGAUAUGUCACAACAUUUGUAUAAAAACAGAAGACACAAAGAAAGUCAGACAAAUGAAGAGUAAACAAGGCAAUGCUUAACUCCCGGAAAAACAAAAAUAAAAAAAGCUUUCAAGAAAGGAAAUGCAGGCUUCUUGGUUGGCUCAAUCAGUUACGUGUCUGACUCUUGAUUUCUGCUCAGGUCAUGAUCCUGGGGUCACAGGAUUGAGCUCCACGUUGGGCUCUGUGUGGCGUGUGGAACCUGCUUGGGAUUGUCUCUCUCUCCCUCUCUCUGCCCCUCCCCUGCUAAUGCUCUCUCUCUCUCUCUUUCUCAAAAUAGGUAAAUAAACAUUAAAAAAAAAAAAAAGAAAGGAAAUGCAGUCAUGGUAUACCACCUGACUAAUUGGUGGAUAAUAAUGUGCAUAGUCACUGAGUUUGGUUUGACCCCAAGUUGUGACAUUUUGGAGGAAAGGGCAGGGACAGUGGGGUAUAAAAGAGCUAAAUCUAAACCUUCAUUGGUGAUAAUGUCUAAAAUUGACGUCGAAUGAUGGCAGCACAGGGACAUUAUUUCGAGAUGGGGUUGCAAAUACCAGAAGAAAAGCCAAGAGAGGCAAAAGUGCUUGCCUCUGCAAACAGAACUUAGCAGGUGAUGGCGGGGGGAACGGGAACUUGCUGUUUCCUUGUUGUUAUCGUGACCCUUUUGGUGCCAUCAACCAGGUUUUCAAUAAUGUUGAAAAUGUUAAAAACAUGUAUUUGUAGAAAAUAAAAACUAGUUUAAAAUAUUUGCCAUGGUGGAGGGUGUCAAUGGAUGAAUGCCAAGACUAGACAGUUUUGGUGACUUCCCUGUAUUCGCACCCCGAAUGAGCCCAGAUAAAAAUGAGUGGCAUUUACUGGACAUUUAUAAUAUACUAGCCUCUCCGCACCGUCUCCAUGAAUGUUUACCACAACCCUGUGAAGGAGGCUCUUUUCCUCUCUUCUUUCCCAGAUGAGUAAACCCAGGGAGGGAAGUGACUUGCCCAGGGCCCUGCGGCCAGCAGCCUGGAGGUGUGCAACUAGGAUUCAAACCAGGUCUAGGAGACCCCUCGCCCCGUGUGCUCGCCAUUGCAGUUUUGCCACCUGGCCUUGUCCUCUGAAUCUUCGCGAAGUGCUCUUAGGGCCUAAUUGUCUGCACCCUGUGCUGAAUGCUGUAAAGGUGAAUCACGGUGGGCACAGCGCACCAUGACUCCUGUUGAGUGUAACAGGUCAGAAAUCAUGGAAAUGCACACCCAUUGCCCAUUGACUCUGUGCUGGAACACAGUGAGGGGGUGGUGCAGAGAGCGCCUGGGGGCCUGUAAUUUGGGGGACCCGGAUGUGAUUCAGGGGUGGGGUACUGGUGGGCAGGGACGUGAGAGAAAGAAAGCUGCUCUUCUGGGCCAAACCUAUCCCUCAUCACUUAAUCCAUCACCAUGGAACUCCCCUUUCCCCUUCUACAAUCUCCCUCCAAGACCCACUUUCCAGUUUCUCUUUGUGUUCAAAUCUGAUGUUCUUUUUCGAGGAGUUGAUUUCAUUUUCCUCCUGUAUAAAAUAUAAAGAUGGACUUACUUUUAUUUUUUAUUUUUUUAAUUUUUUUUUCAACGUUUAUUUAUUUUUGGGACAGAGAGAGACAGAGCAUGAACGGGGGAGGGGCAGAGAGAGAGGGAGACACAGAAUCGGAAACAGGCUCCAGGCUCUGAGCCAUCAGCCCAGAGCCCGACGCGGGGCUCGAACUCACGGACCACGAGAUCGUGACCUGGCUGAAGUCGGACGCUUAACCGACUGCGCCACCCAGGCGCCCCUAGGUGGACUUACUUUUAAUUGAGAAAUACAGAAAAGCAAAAAUAAAUCACUCAAACACUUGGCCACAUUUCCCCUUUGUUUCUUUAAAAUUCAUUUUUAUUUGUUUUUUAAUCAAACAAAUACACAUUUAUAGCUUAAACAUUCAAAUAGUGCCCCAGGGUUAUAACGGCCAAGCAUAGUCCUUCCUAGCUCAGCACUCCAGUUUUUUCGGGUGCUGCUUCUGGUCAUUAUCUCCAUUGUUCCCAACACGUUUAAAUGACUUUUCUUAUUGAUUGAUUGAGUUUAUUGCCAUUCAAAAUGAGGACUUGGAUCAAUCACUUAUGGCGCCUUCCUCUCGCUGUGCCCACUUUCCCCAUCUGUAUUCACAGUCCUGCCCGUCUGCCAGGGAGUAAUAUCACCAUGUCGAGUAGUCAAGAGUCACUAUUUAUGCGAUAACUACGCAGAAUGUUCACAGCUGAGCCACUUAAUGUACUAGGAGGAGAUAUUAUUUCUUUCACCAGUCCUCAUCCUCUACCCCCGCCCUCCACCUCCCCCAGCAUGCACAAUUACAUUUUUCCUUUGCUUGAUCUUCCAAGUACCUGUCACUAAUUUUUCUCUCAACUCCUUUCUCCAAAUCUCAGUAAGACUUUUUUUUUUCCCUCUCAAUAAGAUUAUCUCAUCGGGUAGCCUACCAGUUCCACCUUUUUCCCUGUAGACGUCUCUCCCAGAACCUUCCACUUGGUGGUCAUCCCUACUGGCUGCUCCACUGUCUUCCUGGGAUUUCUGACCUUGCCUCCAUCAUCCCAGGAAUUCUGGUCUCACUGUUCCUGUGUUCGAUCACUUGUGUCCUGGAUCCCAUGUUUUUCUGUCUCUUGAGUUUAUUCCCUUCGUUGGGUCUAAUUCACCACCUACGAACUUCCUAAGAAAGACUGAAAGAUAAGUUUUUUGAAUUCUGGACUGAAUUUUGAAGUCACCAGCCCAGAAGCCUUUAUUGCUACACCACGAUUCCCCUUGCACUGUAGAUAGUCCCCCUUCUAUGUCCCCAGCUCGCCGUGCACCCAUCCCCCAGGACAACAGUGUUGAGUGUCCUCGUUUGGCACGAGGCCACUGCCCAUGCCCAGUAAGUGCCAAUCAACAGCACCUGUCUUAAUAAUACCUUAGCCUCAACACCCAAGGUUUCAGUUGUAUUAAUCACCUAAUAAAGAAACCUUCACAAGUGCUAAUUACUAGUCUAGUCUUCAUAUGAGGCCCAUUUAAAGAGGUGCCAUUUUAGAAGCUGUCGUGCUGACAGUCACUUAACAAACGUUUAUUAAAUGUCUACCAUAUACAGGACACCAUGAUAGAGCUUUAACAUUUAGUCCUCAUGGCAAUCCUGCGAAGUGGGCAUUAUUGCCAAUUCUAAGUGAGGGAACAGUUUCAGAGAAUAAAGCUUCUUCAGCUAGUCAUUCACCACAUUUACUGAGAACCUACUAUGUGCUGGGUGAGGAGGAUACUGUGAGGGGCAGGCCCACAUGUCUCUGGCCUCUCGGAGAGUCUAGGUGAGCCAAAGGAGACAGACAUCAAGCAAAUAAUUUUACAAAUAGUUUAUUAAAUACAUUCGAGACAAGUGCCAUGAGACAGAAGUAUGAAGUGCCGUGUCCCCUAAUCUGGGGAAUUGGAGGCUGUUUCCUGGAGGCAGCAUAGUAGGUCUAUAAGAUUAGUGAGAGUUGGCCAAAUGAAAUGAGAUGUCAGGAAGAGAGAGAGGGAGGGAAGAGCAGGAGCUAAGCCUCAGGGGUGAGAAGGGGUUUGCAGAAGUGAGGAACUAACAGGCCAGUGUGACCAGAACCGAGCGGAAUGAUGUGGCAUAAAGCUCAGUGGGGACACGUCAAAGAGCAGAUGGUGAAGGGUUUGUGUGCUGGGACCUGAACACUCUCUCUGAGGGACCUGAACACUCUCUCUUGAGGACAAAGGGAGGCAAUGAAGAGUUUUGAUCAAUGGGCAUGAAAUGAUGAGAUUUAUUCUAUAAAAACUCCUUGUGGUUGUUAUGGGGACACUACAUUGGAGGAGACAAGAGUGGACAUGGGGAGAGCCAAGGAAAGGCUGCUCCAGAUGUCACAACCGUGCUGACAGCUGCUUGCAUUAAAGGGGGUGCCGGUGGAGAUGAGGACAAGGGAGGGACCCAGGACGUCUGUGGCAAGAGGCUUGUUCAAGGUCACAUGAAGCAGAGUCGGGAGCUAAACCCAGCCCUUGUGGUGGAAAGGCCAGCACUCUUUCUGAUACAUGAGAACCGCUUCUUAUUCUGUGCAAGGGUGAGAGGGUACACACGCAGAUUCUCUCCCUGGGCACUGGUUGGGGAUGCCAAGUUAUAACCCAAUAGUCGUGAAGAAUCUCUUCCUUGUGCAAUGAUAGAGCUCCUAAAUUAGGCUGUGUAAUAUGUCCGUCAUCUGGGAUAGAAGAAGAAAACAGUCACUGCUUUUAAGAGCGUGCACAUCCUAAUAAAGGCUAUAGGAAUGUAAACAGGGUCCUCAAACAAUACUAAACACGAGGGAGUUGUAGAAGCUCUAGAAUCUCACACAGCUCUUAAGAUCACAAUCCCAGUGCUACACUUUUUGACUCUUUGACUACACUACACCCAGCAAUAUCUUUGUGGUCCUGGAACCAUACAUCCUCCUAAACAGACUUAAAAUAACAUCACUCUUGGCCUUACCCUGAUUCUCAAUCCUGGCCAGAAACUGUGUUUCUCGGAAACAAUGGUGACAUAUUUUGAAAUUAUUUUAUUAUGUUUUAAGUCUCACUGUUCUCCUAAAUAAUUGAUCUUCAUGGAUUUAUUGAUCAAUGCUUAAAAACCUCAUUAAUGAACUUCUUGGGCACAGGACCAGUAGGUGUGAAGUUUGAGAAUUUAACCAACCAUAUGACCUAAAUUCCCUGCAACAUUCUUAGUUUCCAUACAUAAAAACCAUCUUUAGAACAUGUACCAAAUUUAAGCUUGAAAAUAGAAUUCACCUCCCAGGCAAAGUGUGUAGGAACUUAAGAGUACAGCUAACCUUUGAAAAAUAGGAGUUUGAACUGCAUGGGUCCACUUAUAUGUGGAUUUUUUUCCCGAUAAAUACAGUAAAGCACUGUGAAUGUAUUUCUCUUCUUAAUAAUCUUAAUAUUUUCUUGUCUGUAGCUUGCUUUAUUAUAAGAAUACAGCAUAUAAAGGAUGCCUGGGUGACUCAGUUGGUUAAAUGCCCAGCUCUUGAUUUCAGCUCAGGUCAUGAUCGUGGGAUUGAGACCCACAUAGGGCUCCAUGCUGACAGUGCAGAUCCUGCUUGGGAUUGUCUCUUUCCUUCUCUCUCUGUCCCUCCCACUGUCUCUCUCUCCCUCUCCAAAUAAAUAAAUAAACUAAAAAAAAAAAAAAAAACACACAGUAUGUAAUACAUAUAAACUAGAAAAUAUGUGUUCAUCAGCUGUUUAUGUUAUUAUGGCUUCUGGUCAAUAGUAGGCUUUUAGUAAUGUUUUGGGGGGAGUCAAAGUUAUAUGUGAAUUUUUGACUGUGCAGGAGGUCAGCACCCCUAACCCCCAUUGUUGUUCAUGGGUCAACUGUGUGUGUUUCCAAUGGAAACUCUGGAGUUCAGUUUCAAAAGGGAGGCAGAAACCCAUGGACCUAAGUUCCUAGACUAGGAAGUCUCUUGCAGAUGCCUUGAGAAUUCAGGUUGUGCCCUUUGGGGACACUCUCCUAGCUGCCAUAUGGAUGGGGCAGGGCUGAGUGAAAAAAAGUAUUGUUUAUGGAACAUGAUUUAUUUUCAAAGGUUGUAAAACUCCGUGUUACCUGGCCCAGGCCUUAAUGAAAUAGUUUGAAGAACACGAAGAAAGUACACAUGAAGUUCAGUGGCAAGCUGGUAAAUAUUUAUUGACCUAAAGAAUGUGCAAAUGUAAUUUAUAGAUCACAAAUGAUACAAUAAUCUUUAUUGUAAAUUCCUUAUAGCUAGUGGAUUCCCACAGAAUGCUUCUGAUUUUUGCUCUGGGCUCCUAUAUCCAGAGUGUAGCCAAUCUAUUAUUUCACUUGAUGAACAAACUCAGUACCCACAUGAAUGUGGGUUGAUAUAACAACAAAGCUGUAUGUCGGGUGUUCAAUCAUUUGUCAAUGAUAAGAGCAAGUUCUUUGCUGAACGAAAUGAUACUUUUCAAAUAUUGGAGGAAUACUUCCUCAGGUUUUUUUGCACCAUUCAUAAUGUAUUGAAUGUAUUCAACCUUUACAGUAAAGUACUGUAAAUGCACUUCUCUUCUUAAUCAUUUUCUUAAUGUUUUCUUUUGUUUAGCUUGCUUUAUUGUAAGAAUACAGUAUAUGAUACAUAUAACGUACAAGAUAUGUGUUCAUGGCCUGUUUAUGUUAUUAUGGCUUCUGGUCAGUAGUAGGCUUUUAGCGAUGUUUUUGGGGAGUCAAAGUUAUAUGUGGAUUUUUGACUGUGCAGGGGGUCGGCACCCCUAACCCCCGUUGUAGUUCAAGGGCCAACUGUAUGUGUUUCCAGUGGAACCUCUGGAGUUCAUUUUGAAAAGGGGGGCAGGAACCCGUAGAUCUCCAUAAACACAUUUGAAAAUUUAAUCAGCAUUAUUAACAUUUUUUUCCAUCCCUUUCUUAAAAGUCUUGACCAGGGACCAGUAAACUAUGGCCUGCAGGCCAAAUCCGAUCCCCCCAACCUCUCUCUGUAAAUAAAGUUUAUGGGAACAUGGCCAUGCCCCAUGGUUUCACAUAUCGUCCGUGGCUGUUUUUGUCCUACAGUGGCAGAAGUGAGUAGGUUAGGCAGAGACUGGCCACAAAGCCCAAAAUAUUUACUCUCUGGCCCUUUACUGAAUAGAGUUUGCCGACUCCAGGUUUGGAUAGUCAAUAAAACAGGAAAUCAGGCCUUGAUCCGGUGCUGUUUGCUGAUUUCUGUGGUAUAACUACUCCCACGGUGGCUAAUUUCACUCUUGCAAGGCGCCAUCACCAGCCACAGAGUCGGGAAGAUUGAACACCCAACAGCGGCUCUAGCUGUACGGCCACAGUACAUAGUACAUAACUUCAAGAGCAUCCAUCACGGUAAAAUAAUGAAGAGCUGAAGAGCUUUGAGUAUUUAUCUUUGUUUCUAAAUAUAAUCUAUUUAGUUAUGAUUUAUAUCAUUGAAUUUUUAGUAAUGGUUGUGUUUAACGACAAGUGGUCCUCAAAGUUUCGGAGCACGUAACGAUCCCUCGGCAUGAGCUGGUUCGAUUGCUUUCCUGUAGUGCCCAGCCAUCUUUUUCUCCCCCAUCUCUGGGGGACAUCCCCGUCUUCCCAGCACACCUGGCUCCUGAAGUGUCCUGUGCCCUUUUAAUGACCCUCUGGCUGUCCAGGGACCCCCGUUUUUCCUGUCUUUGAUAUCUUGCUCUCACACCGCCCCAUUCCCUCUCAUCUGCAUUCACAAUACUUUGAGUUCUGUAGGAGAACUGGUCUCAGAUAGCUGACAGAAAUUCACAACAAGGGAUAGCUGAUCAAAUCUUGGUGGUUGGGGCGCCUGGGUGGCUCAGCUGGUUAAGCGUCCGACUUCAGCUCAGGUCAUGAUCUCACGGUUCGUGGGUCUGAGCCCUGUGUCGGGCUCUGUGCCGACAGCUCGGAGCCUGGAGCCUGCUUCGGAUUCUGUGUGUGUCUCUUUCUCUGUCCCUCCCCCAUUCGCACUCUGACUGUCUCUCUCUCUCAAAAUAAAUACACAUUUAAAAAGUUGGUUGUUUCAAUAGGCCUGGAAAUGGCUGCAUUUAAAAAAAAAGAUUCUUGUCGACCCAAAGAUUCUAGAAUCUGAAUGUCUGGUCACACUGCAGGUGUAGGAAGUAUCUUUGGAAUUCUGGGGUGCCAACAUCUCUCAGUCCCGGGCAGGAGGUCAUCAUCUUCUCUACAGGGAAGCACUGGCCCAGACGUGCACCUGAUGGCUCUCAUUUCUCUAGACAACCUUUUCCUCUUCUCUCUUGGCUUUAGCCCUUACCCUCUCUCCCACUUGUCCUCUGUUUAAACCUCACUGUUGUGGCUGAGGUGAGGCAGGUGUUAUAUAGACUAGGCGGGGAGAGGAUCAAGAAAACUACAGCUGUUUGUGCUUAUCUAGAACCUUCGGCUCCUGCCUUGUGUGGUCGUGGCUGAUACUUGACAUAUCUGGUGUUUCGUCAGAAUUAGUGUGUUCUCUGUUCCGGCCAGCUCUGCCGUCUGGCACCUUGGCGUGUUGUGACGGGUAGAACUGCCAAUGGGAAGACAACAUAGCCAUUGAGAAGUAGGAGCUUGAGUGAGUCUAGGAGAUGGGGGGUGAGGGGGCGCUCCCAUACAGCCCUUAAGCUGGAGUGGGAGGACAUGGGAAGUCACGGCACAGAGUAUAAGAAGUGGGGUGAAAAUGCAGGAGGAGGGAGUUAGGUCAGGCUCUGGAAUGAUGGCAUUAACAAACAAACCAGAUGGAGGAAAAAGGCAUUUGUGUGUCAACACAUAUUUAUUGAGUAUCUUCCAUGUUUCAGGGCUUGUCUAGGCCCCGGACUACAGCCAGGGAAUAAAAGGAAGCCCCUGUUCUAGGUCGCUGACAUUUCUAGUGGGGUGGGACAGAAACAUGGCAGAAGGUAGCCUCAGAAGAACAGGAUGAGAGAUCAGGUGAGGAGCGAGAUUGUGGAGCGACCAUGGGGGCGAGAUAAGAAUCUCUUGGAAGGUUUUGAGCAGGGGGUGUUACAUUCUGACUUGUAUGUCAAAAUGGCAACUCUGAGUUGAUUGCUUUUCAGAAAGCCCAGGUAAGAGGCCGCUGCAAAGUCCAGGUACAGGUGGUUGGGUCACAAGGAGGUGGUGCGAAUCCACAAAUUCUGGACAUGCGGUGAGGACAGAUGGGUCAUGGGCUGUGAAGAGAAGCAGAGGAAUCCUGGAAAGACUCCAAAGGUUUUGGCCUGAGGAAGUAGAUGCAUAGGACUUCCAUUUACUGAGGUGCAAGGCAUAGGGAGGGUGGGGUGGGGGUUAGGGAGGAUCAGGAGUUUGGGGGUGGGCAUGAUAGUUUUGAUGGCUUAGUGGAUGAGGUGCAGAUGUUGAGUCGAUGGCUGCAUCUAUGAAUCUGGAAUGCAGAGGGAGAGGACGAUGCUGUUGGUAUAAGUCAAGGAAUCAUUUAAAGGCACGAGGCUAGGUUAACUAACCCAAGUGUCGAGGGAGAUUCGAUACAGAAGAGAACGGGUCUGAGGAUGGGGCUUUGGGUCUUGAUGUUCAGAGGUGAGGACCCAGCAAAGGAGAUCCUGUAUUUCUAAAAUGAGAAGGCAUGAAGAAUCCUCUUUGUCAGGGCAUUUACCCAAGGGUUACCUGGAAAUGGCCUAGGGGGUGGGGAGAUAAAAGGUCCUCCUGACAGUCCCCUGGACCCAGGCUGGUGGCCUGAGCUAUAGCGAGGAGCUCUGCUUCACCCCACUUUCUCAGAGAUGGUGACACCUGGCAAAAUUUCUCUAAGUCAAUUUUAUUGAUUUAUUUUUCUCUUGAAGUCAAUUUGAAAUUAAAAGGCACGUCAUAUGGCUUUCCAGUGUGUUCUACAGUGGAGCAAAUAACAAUAGGAUGUGGUAGCCACGAAAAGACUGGGUGCUUCUGAAGUUGUCAGGCUGGAAGAACAAGGAGCGGGUGAAUGCCGUCUUGCUACUCCCUAAGUAGAGAAGCCACAGAGGGCUGUGUUGGGAGCACUUUGUACCUUGCCUGGCCCACACUGGGUUAAAUAUCGUUUUCUCCUUCCAAGUCUCUGCUGACUGGUAGCUGUGUGACCUCAGGAAAAUUGCUUAACUUCUCAGAGCCUCUGUUUCCUCAUUGGUAAUGACUAUUCCCCCAAAAGGUGUUUGUAAAGAUUGAAUAAUUUUAUUUUUUUAUUUUAUUGUUUUAAAAUAUUUAUUUAUUUUUGAGAGAAAGAGAGAGAGAGAGAGCACACAGCAGGGGAGAGGCAGAGAGAGAGAGAGAGAGAGAGAGAGAGAGAGAGAAUCUGAAGCAGGCUCCAGGCUCUGAGCUGUCAGUACAGAGCCUGAUGUGGAGGUGAAACCCACGAACUUCUAGAUUAUGACCUGAGCCGAAGUUGGACGCUCAACUGCCUGAGCCACCCAGGCGCCCCAAGAUUAAGUAAUUUUAAAUAGAUUGAAGCCUGUAGUGAACUGCAAAGUUAUAUACAAAUACGAGGCAGAAGCGGCUGUGCCUAUAAGAAAAUAGCUCAAUUUACACAAUAAUAGAUUCUCACCCUUUGCAUAAAUACAGGAUUUCCAUACUCAGGUCACCGGAGCUGGCCUUCUUCAGCACGCAAGUAUUCCAAUUAGACAUGGAAGCACUCUCCACUAUUAUGUCAUAUAUUUCUUGUGGGCUCAGAGAGAGAAGAUGAGCUUACUAGUCAUGCCCUGUUGCCAUCACCGACUCCUGAGUUGGAAAUAUAAAGAAUUCUCAGCUCCCUCAUCUAUCUGUCCAUGCUCUUACCUCUGGUGUCCAAUCUGCCUCCUUUCUAUGCCGAUUGCCGGUUGAAAGUGCCUCUGGUCUUCCUCUUCUGAAUUCUGUGAAAUCAAUAAAAAGCAAGAGGCAGCAUGCAGGGUGAAGGUGAUCCUGUCUGUGCUGGCCUCAAUUAUGGAGUCAGUUUAAGCUCAAGUGUGGGGUGAGCAUAAGCCUGGCGGAGGGGGUGUAGGGAGGGUGAGGGCUGAAUUACAUAAAGGGUCAGGAGAUCUGCGUUCUAGCCGUGACAUUCACAAACCGUCUCUCUACAGCAUUUCCAUUAGUCGAAGGAAAGGAAUUGGAUCCCAGCUCUUCUAGCUCUUUUCUCUUUGGGACUCUGACUUCACUUGUUUGGAGACUCAGUCUACUUAUUUCAGCAUCGUUCCACUAGGUGGCGAUGUUUCCUUAACCCCCAAGCAAGUUUUCAUUCUGGGAAAAAAGCCGAGUUUCGUAGCCAGUUUUUUUUUUCUCCCGUGAAAGUGCGAAAGAAUGAUUCUCUCUCUCUCUCUCUCUCUCUCUCUCUCUCCCUCCCUCCCUCCCUCCCUCCCUCUCUCUCUCUCUCUUUUUUAAAAUAUAAGAGGGGAGCCUGGGUGGCACAGUCGGUUGAGCGUCCGACUUCAGCCAGGUCACGAUCUCGCCGUCCGUGAGUUCGAGCCCCGCGUCAGGCUCUGGGCUGAUGGCUCAGAGCCUGGAGCCUGUUUCUGAUUCUGUGUCUCCCUCUCUCUCUGCCCCUCCCCCGUUCAUGCUCUGUCUCUCUCUGUCCCAAAAAUAAAUAAACGUUGAAAAAAAAAAUUUAAAAUAUAAGAAUGAUUCUCCAAAGCUGGGGACGAAAGAAGGAACUUUCCUUCUGAACACCUCAGGCAGUUUAUGCUGGAAACAGACAGGGCCUCUGUUUAGAGAUUCCUCCUCUCUGCUGGGAGUGGGAACUCAGGCUAGAGUUUUGCAUUCUGUGAUUGCACAAGGGCUGGGGGCGGCGGAGGGAGGGGAAGAGGCGGGGGCUGGGAGACGUUGGAAACGCUGGGUCCUAGGGAGGUUAGGGGGCGGUGGACGGUAGGCACGAGCUCUGGGCCCGCGUGAGCCCUGCAAGACUCUGCCCGGAGAAGCGCACUGGAUGCCAACUUUUCCGGGCUCCGCAGGAGUAGGCAUUGCCAGAUGCUCCCACCAGGGGCUAGGACGGUCCUCCCAGAAUCGGACUGCUUUGCUCAUGAAGGUCAGAGAUGCACGAGGGCAGCAUGAAGCCCAGCCUCCUUCUCAUGCAGAUGGGGAAGCUGAGGCCCAGAGCGGGUCAGUUCUCCUAAUGCUACCUCCCAGCCAAAUUACUUUGUCCUUACACAUUUCAAAUAGACUUGCCAACUGUCUCAUCUUGAGCGUGCAGCUAGCGCAUCUAGUAGUUAAUUAAGCCUGCGAGCCUCCCACCCGCCGAGCCCUUGCACCGUGCACACCAGGACAUACUGCACCGGAAGAGUUGGGGUGAUUUGCUCAAAGACCUCAAACAGAACACCAAUCCAGUGGGGGAGACAACUCAUUUAAAGCAACUGCUUCUUAACCCGUAGAACAGAUCUCAUAGUAGGGUCCAUUUGUUUAUUUGCGUUUAAUAAUAAUGUAAUAAUAGCGAACUUUUAUUCAGUGGUUCCUAUGGACUGGGCCCUGUGCUAAGCACUUAGCAUCAUUGUAUCUAUCCUAUAGCAAUGUCAGCAAAUCUGUGAGGCAGCUAUCGCUAUCUAUUUAAAUUUUUUUUAAUGUUUAUGUACUUUUGAGAGAAGGCGAGAGUGGGGGAGGGGCAGAGAGAGGGAGACACAGAAUGGGAAGCAGGCUCCAGGCUCUGAGCGGUCAGCACAGAGCCCAACGCGGGGCUCGAACUCACAGACCGCGAGAUCGUGACCUGAGCUGAAGUCAGACGCUUAACCGACUGAGCCACCCAGGCGCCCCUGCUGUCUAUUUAUUAUAGAGGUUCAGAAAGGUUGAGUAACUAGCUUAAAGUCACACAGCCGGAAGGAGCAGAGCCAAUAGUCACACCCUAAUUUCCCUAAGUCAAGCUUUGGUCUUUUAGCCUCCACAUUGUGCUUCAGGACGCUGUCCCCCAUUUUUAGGAUCUGAUACAGAAACUUACCGGAGUUUCUGGAGGACCAGUCACUAUCUCAUCAUGUUCCUGUUGUGACAUGAAGGCUCCGUGGUAGCAAGCCAGCUUAGGGCCUAGAGACUUGGUGACAUCAGUGUCACAUCUGCAGGACACUCAGAACGCGAACGCACGACAUGAGGAGAGAUGCUCCCAAAGGAGGCUGUUGGCACCAGGAUCCAAGAAGCAGCGAGAAUCUGUGUUUGUUUGGAGGUGUUCCCACUACCCGUGAAGGCAGGGAUAGUCGGCAGUGUGGUGCCUGAGGAACAGCCACAUGACACCGGAGGCUGCUCUAGGGACCGUCCUCCUCCGUGCUGGGCUCAGAGUGUGGCAUUUAGUACGCAUCACCUCACCUGGGACUCCUGGCGGCGUGUUGCCCCAGGGACCACUUUGUCCCCACCUUACCAGGGGCAAUAUCUCAAAUACAGGAAGUUCUCCUCAACAAACUGAUGCCAGAUACAGAUAGCCUUCAGAAAUCCAGGUUUGCGUGUUCUCUCAAAAGGGCACGAAAUUGAAAUACUUUAUUAAGUUGUGGGAUAACAACCAGUUAUCCCGGAGGUGCAGUUACUGUUAUAGAAAAAGGGACGAGGAUUUCCAGCCUGACAGAUUUAGAUUCCCCGGCUCAAUAACCACGGGACCUUGGGCAAAUUACCUAACCUCUUUGAGUCUCAGUUUCCUCAUUUUCUAAAAGGGGGCAAUAUUGCAUACGUCCCAGGGUUACAGUGAUAGUCAAUGAGAUGAUGUAUGUGAACUGCCUGGUGUAUUUUGUGCAACGUCGUAAGUGUUCAGUAAAUACUAAUGAUGACGAUGAAGGUGGUUACUGUUAAUGCCCUUCCAGCGAGCUGCCCACCCUUAUUCCAGAUCCUUUGUGACCACUGCUGGGGACUUUAGAAUCUCUGAACCCACCGAAACCCCGCUUAUCCAGAGGGCCUUGCCAUUUCUGCCUGCUGAUGGCUCAUUUGUCUUGGGGAUGACCUUCAUCCUCCACAUUCCCAUUCCAUGGUUUGCCAGAAUCCAGCAUUUAGGCAGUGAAUUCUCAGGGCUGUAGGAGCUAUGGUCUAUGAGGAGUUUACUACCUGUGCCCAAUAAAUGUUCAAUGAAUAAAUAAGAGCCAAUAAAACUGUAAAAGCAAGAAUAAAAAUGAGUAUCCUUAUAAGCACUUUAGAUCUUAAAAGGUCUUUAUAUUCGGCUGCUCGGAGUCAAACUUGUAUCCAAUAAAGAUUUUACAAAGGGUCUGGAGUUGCACCACCAAAGGAAGGGGGAGGCUCCAAUAUCCAUCCCUGGCCGGAUGAACAGCCACCCAGGGCGGGGCCAGUGGCCUUGCGUCUCCAGGUCUGAUAAACUCCAGGAAAUACAUUCAGGCCAAAGUAUAUUUCCUAUCAGUGGAAGAAGACCAGAAAUGGAAGAGGGAGACAGGGAGGAGACCUCCCAAGGGCACCUCACUCCAACACUAGGGACUAUGAAUCUACAACAGGAAGGCUUUAAAAAAGUCGUGUCAGUCUGUCUUGAUGAUGUUCUAGUAGCUAAAUAGAAAGGAGCCAUGAGGACGGCCACAAAGACCAUCAUAUCUCACCUCCAUCCACCCACCACAUUGCCUGAAAUGUUACCAUUAGGAUUCUUUUCCUUUGGGUUUCCUUUGAGUUUUGAGUUAACAAGUAAGAGUAAUGUCUGGAAAAUUCUUAUUUUACAUCCUCAACUUUUGGAUUUUCUCUUCUAGAUCAUAAAGACAAACAAUAGCAAGUAACUUCUUAGUGUUUUUUCCUUCUUAUUACAAAAGAGAUCCACAUUCAUCAUAAAAUAUUUGCAAAAAGAGAUAAGCAAAAUUAAGGAAAUAAAUUCAGCCUAUAAUGUAAUUUCCCAGGGAUAGUGAUUAUUAAAAUUUAGGUAUUCCCUUCUGCCAUUUUCUUUCUUUUUUUUUUUUUUUUUAAAUUUUUUUUUUUCAACGUUUAUUUAUUUUUGGGACAGAGAGAGACAGAGCAUGAAUGGGGGAGUGGCAGAGAGAGAAGGAGACACAGAAUCGGAAACAGGCUCCAGGCUCUGAGCCAUCAGCCCAGAGCUUGACGCGGGGCUCGAACUCACGGACCGCGAGAUCGUGACCUGGCUGAAGUCGGACGCUUAACCGACUGCGCCACCCAGGCGCCCCAACGUUUAUUUAUCUUUGAGACAGAGAGAGAGACAGAGCAUGAACGGGGGAGGGUCAGAGAGAGAGGGAGACACAGAAUCGGAAACAGGCUCCAGGCUCUGAGCCAUCAGCCCAGAGCCUGACGCGGGGCUCGAACUCACAGACCGCGAGAUCGUGACCUGGCUGAAGUCGGACGCUUAACCGACUGCGCCACCCAGGCGCCCCAACGUUUAUUUAUUUUUGAGACAGAGAGAGACAGAGCAUGAACGGGGGAGGGGCAGAGAGAGAGGGAGACACAGAAUCGGAAACAGGCUCCAGGCUCUGAGCCAUCAGCCCAGAGCCUGACGCGGGGCUCGAACUCACAGACCGCGAGAUCGUGACCUGGCUGAAGUCGGACGCUUAACCGACUGCGCCACCCAGGCGCCCCUNUUUUUUUUUUUUUUUUUAAAUUUUUUUUUUUCAACGUUUAUUUAUUUUUGGGACAGAGAGAGACAGAGCAUGAAUGGGGGAGUGGCAGAGAGAGAAGGAGACACAGAAUCGGAAACAGGCUCCAGGCUCUGAGCCAUCAGCCCAGAGCUUGACGCGGGGCUCGAACUCACGGACCGCGAGAUCGUGACCUGGCUGAAGUCGGACGCUUAACCGACUGCGCCACCCAGGCGCCCCUGCCAUUUUCUUUCUUAAUGAAACUUUUUUUCCUAUGAAAUUUAAUAGAAUACAAUGUACCUCUCUUUUCCUUUAUAUUUAACAUUCCUUAUUUCUUACUUAGAAAACCUUUUCCUGCGUUAUGAAAAAUUCUCCUAUAUUUUCUUCUAAAUGUUAAUAAUUUGUAGUUUUAUACAGUUGUUGCCUUUCAGAUAAAGUUAGCAAUCUACCUAGAUUGACAUCUGUGGAUGGCAUAAGGUAGGGACAAGUUCUAUUUUUCGCCCCAAAUGGAUAUCCAGGUGUGUAUCGAGACCAUUCUUUCCCUACUACUCUGCAAUUUCACUUUUUGUUGAAAAAUCAAUGGUCCACGCACGGUGGCUCUCUUUCUGGGCGCUCCUGUGUUCCAUUGGACUGUCUGUAUGUUGGACAAGACAAGGUGGGCUAUGCUUUGUUUUGGGUAACGAAUAACCCCAACAUGUCAUGGAUUAACAUACUAAAGUUAUUGUUUUUCUUUACUAGCAGAUCACUGGUGAUACAGAAUAUGCGUCAGGGCAACUGUCCUUCAUGAAUGAAGUCUCUGCAUCAUCGGGAGCACUCUCUAUCCCAAGAAGAGAGACUUGGGUCUCUCAUCAUCUCAACGGCACUCAUCAUUCACUUCCUCUUACAACCCAUUAGCCAGUGACUCUCUCAGUAAGAGUUAGACUCAUGAGCAAAGGGCUGUGAAGUGCUGUCCGCCAUAUGCCUGGAAGGGGAGGCUACCAGAUAUUGGAAAACACGAGUUAUGCCUACCUUCAUCUAUACCAUUGACUGAAAGCGCUGGUCUUAAUCAUUUUUAUAGUAAGACUCCGUACCUAACAGACGAAAGACUCCGAUGCUGUGUUUCGACUUCAAGAAGGCCUUGGCUCGUCUUAGACCUUGGCAAUUCCAUACAAAUUGUAGGAAGUGUUUGUGAAGUUCUGAAAAAGAUCCCGAAUUCACAGCUGAAUCAAGGGAGAAUCGACACUGAAAAUAUCAAGUGUUCUAAUUCAGUAACAGAAUUUCUCUCCUUUAAUCCAGGUCUUCUUUAGUUUCUUUCAAUAAUGUUUUAUAAUGUUUAAAAAAAUUUUUUUUAACAUUUAUUCAUUUUUGAGAGACAGAGACAGAGUGUGAGUGGGGGAGGGGCAGAGAGAGGGGGAGACACAGAAUCCAAAGCAGGGUCCAGGCUCCGAGCCAUCAGCACAGAACCAGAGGCAGGGCUUGAAAUCACGGACCACAGGAUCAUGACUUGAGCUGAAGUUGGACACUUAAUGGACUGAGCCACCUGGGUGCCCCAAUGUUUUAGAAUGUUUUGCACAGAGGUCUUAUACACCUUUUGUUAGAUUUUCCCCUAAAAUUUGGAUAUGUUUAAAUCCUAGUGUAAAUGUUAUUUUCAAAGUUUUUUCCAUUUUAUAAAAUCUGUGGUUGAUAGGGGCACCUGGGUGGCUCAGUUGGUUUUAACCAUCCAACUUCGGCUCAGGCAAUGAUCUUGCAGUUCACUAGUUCGAGCCCCACGUCAGGCUCAGAGCCUGAAGCCUGUUUCAGAUUCUGUGUCUG
rnacentral:lncRNA from 1 species